rnacentral:lncRNA from 1 species
UGUUUAAUUGAAUGGAAGGACCUACUUUUGACUAUGUUGUUCGGACUCUCCGGAAAUUAUGUGUCAAAUUGCACUAUUUUCGGAGGAUCCAAUAUGCCUUUGUCCAUAUUUUUGAAGAGUAUGAGCAAAAUAGCUUUUGGUAGUUGACCUAUUACUUGUCUUGAGUAUAGGUCAUGCAAAUAACUACUCAGUAACUUUUCUUUAGUUAGUUAUGAAGUUUUUUUUGCUUUACUGUAUAUAAAGUUGAAAAAACUUUUGGACUUUGACUCUAUUGGUGAUAGUGGUUAUAAUGGGGCUUUUUGUGUAAAGGGUUACACCUUUACAAUCAUUUAAAUCAGUUUGGUGAAAAUGAUGAUAAACCUUUUUAGUUUUUCAGAACAGCUUUUUCUUUAAAAAAAAAUGGGGCAUUAUGUAUAAAGGUAUUCAUACCUUUAAAUAUUCAUUUCUAAAUGUGGUUUGAGUUAAAAGAGUUGAUCCUUUUUGUUUCCUCAAAGUAAAUGCUUGAAAAUAUUGUCUUAAAGGUUGAGUCUUUUUGUAAAAGAGGCAAAUACUUAAAGCAUCCAUCUUAAUUAGACUGCAGUGGUGGAGCCACAUGUUGGAAAGUUAUACUACGCGAAUAGGAAUUUUUUAUUUUUUUUGAAUACCUUUGACAUUAUAUAACUACAUGUCAACUUUUUGAGUCCCCUAGUUGGAAUUUCUCUCUCCCAUUUUCACUCUGUUGUUGUAACUCUACUUGGACUCUUCAAAGAUGUCGCUGCACCUGUGUUGCUACAUUUAUGUAACUUUUUGAGUCCCCUAGUCGGAGUUUCUUUCUCCGCCACUACAUGUUAACUCUUAGGUGUGACAUUAUCUAACUUUUGAGUCCCUUAUUUGAAUUGUAAAAAUCUAUGCUCUGCUUGGACUUUCUAAAAGUGUCGCCACACCCGUGUUGGAUCCUGCAAAAAGGCAUUGCUUUUGAAUGAUCCACACACCUCAUGGCAUUUUUGGGGAGUACGAGCAACAUAGGUGAAAAUGCAUCAUCAUUCUUUUUGCCUUCUCUUUGAGAUGGUAUCUUCCAGCUAUAAUUUAUUUUGCUAGUGUCUACUAGUAAUUGUUGCUUUUGGUAUAUCAAUAAUUCUGUUUUAUUACAUUGCGUGAUUGGUGUACAACUUGCACAUGUUCUGUUCUUGUUCCUCUAAUGUGACCCCCCGUCCUGCGGCCUUUUGUUUUUAAAAAAAUAAGUUUCCGAGGGAAAUCGUAUAUGCUUGUGUGUGUGUAUUAGGAGUUCACAUGGCUCGUUGAAUUUGUUUCACAUAGUUUUCUUAUUAUAUAUCC